GAUGAACGCUGGCGGCGUGCUUAACACAUGCAAGUCGAACAAAGCACUUUGGACGGAUUCUUCGGAUGAAGUCCUUAGUGACUGAGUGGCGGACGGGUGAGUAACGCGUGGGUAACCUGCCUCAUACAGGGGGAUAACAGUUAGAAAUGGCUGCUAAUACCGCAUAAGCGCACAGUACUGCAUGGUACAGUGUGAAAAACUCCGGUGGUAUGAGAUGGACCCGCGUUGGAUUAGCUAGUUGGCAGGGUAACGGCCUACCAAGGCGACGAUCCAUAGCCGGCCUGAGAGGGUGGACGGCCACAUUGGGACUGAGACACGGCCCAGACUCCUACGGGAGGCAGCAGUGGGGAAUAUUGCACAAUGGGGGAAACCCUGAUGCAGCGACGCCGCGUGAGCGAAGAAGUAUUUCGGUAUGUAAGGCUCUAUCAGCAGGGAAGAAAAUGACGGUACCUGACUAAGAAGCCCUGGCUAACUACGUGCCAGCCGCCGCGGUAAAAC
rnacentral:rRNA from 1 species